rnacentral:rRNA from 1 species
CCUACGGGUGGCAGCAGUCGAGAAUCAUUCACAAUGGGGGAAACCCUGAUGGUGCGACGCCGCGUGGGGGAAUGAAGGUCUUCGGAUUGUAAACCCCUGUCAUGUGGGAGCAAAUUAAAAAGAUAGUACCACAAGAGGAAGAGACGGCUAACUCUGUGCCAGCAGCCGCGGUACUACGGAGGUCUCAAGCGUUGUUCGGAAUCACUGGGCGUAAAGCGUGCGUAGGCUGUUUCGUAAGUCGUGUGUGAAAGGCGCGGGCUCAACCCGCGGACGGCACAUGAUACUGGGAGACUAGAGUAAUGGAGGGGGAACCGGAAUUCUCGGUGGAGCAGUGAAAUGCGUAGAUAUCGAGAGGAACACUCGUGGCGAAGGCGGGUUCCUGGACAUUAACUGACGCUGAUGCACGAAGGCCAGGGGAGCGAAAGGGAUUAGAUACCCGGGUAGUC